rnacentral:rRNA from 1 species
AUUGAACGCUGGCGGCAGGCCUAACACAUGCAAGUCGAGCGAGCGGCGGACGGGUGAGUAAUGUAUGGGGACUGCCCGAUAGAGGGGGAUAACUACUGGAAACGGUAGCUAAUACCGCAUACUAUCGGAUAACCCAUAUGGGAUUAGCUAGUAGGUGAGGUAAUGGCUCACCUAGGCGACGAUCCCUAGCUGGUCUGAGAGGAUGAUCAGCCACACUGGGAAUGAGACACGGCCCAGAUGCCAACGGAGGCAGAAGUGGGGAAUAGUGCACAAUGGGCGCAAGCCUGAUGCAGCCAUGCCGCGUGGAUGAAGAAGGCCCUAGGGUUGUAAAGUACUUUCAGUCGGGAGGCGUUACCGACAGAAGAAGCACCGGCUAACUCCGUGCCAGCCGCCGCGGUAAUUC